CACACACUCCAAAGUUAUAAAUUAUUGUAACCAUUGAAACACAUAGUGAGUCCUGGAUUACCUACAUUGAAGAAGAUUAUACUAUAACUACGUAUUUUAUAUAUGUAUAAAAUACGUUAACUAUGAAGUUAAUAAUUAUAUCACUUUUCGGGUUGUUCGGUCUAUCAAAGCAAGCGGAAGCGCCGACUCCUACGCAACUCGAUGUGCCCUCAUCUCCUGUAGCCACGGCAACUGAAUCAAGAAGCUCUAUACCCUGGUCAAAUGGAAACCCUGACACGCCGGCCGCCACAAGAUCCUGGCCUAAUACUGACGUAUACCCUGAUACUACGCCAACGGCCACAGGAUUCGUCAUACCCGUUGGACACCCCGGCUACAGACCUGUUACCCCGGCCUUCGUCAUCCCCGUAAAACCAACCACUUCAGGAAACGCUGUACCCUGGCCAAACAACGGAUACCCUGACUCCACGCCAACAGCUACAGGGUAUGUUAUACCUGCUGGAUACCCAGGCUACCGUCCAGAUACUCCAGGCUUCGUCAUUCCUGUAGGAUACCCUGGCUAUAGACCAAAUAUCCCAAGUUUCAUAAUUCCUGUAGGACACCCUGGCUAUAGACCAAAUUUACCAGGGUUCGUUCUUCCUGUAGGAUACCCUAGGCCAACGGGAAGCACAAUACCCUGGACAAACAACAAUUAAUAUCCUGCACAGUACCAGCACAGUUUAUGAUCCUGUGUCCACAUAGUGCCGUCUAUACUGACCUCAGUUUAGACCACCUGCAACUAAUAUGUAUAUCCAUAUAUAUUAUUUAUUUCUCAAUAAAUGUGCCCUUUACACAUUGUUCAAAUGUUUUUUAUACAUAUGACAAGUAUGAUGUAAGCAAAUUGAUGUAUUUUAUUAUAUUUUUGGCCAAAGAAUUAAUAAAUUUAGAAUAUCACAUAACUGGUAAGGUAUACAUGGCUUAGCAGAGUUAUAACAGUUUCUGUGUUGUAAACGUAAUUGAUUUUACCACCGUAUGGUACAUUACAUGCAUAUUAUGCAUGUAUAAUUCUACAUGUUAGCAUGUCCAUAUUAAUAGGAUUUUUGUACUUAUUACCGAUAAAACAUUACUUAUCGAAAAAUGAGUACUGGAAAUGAAUUUGUGUAAAUAGGAUGUGGCGAUAAAAUUAUUUGAUGAAAGAUUAAAAGAGAAAUAUAAAUAUUUCAACCAUCGACCAUGAAGAGAGUAAUUUUAUUGCUGAUGUUAACUAUCUCCAAUGGACUGUGUCAACAUAUAUACAAUGGGGAAGAUAGCCCGGAAUUCAAAAGUGGAGAGAGUCCCUUUGAUCCAGACUAUGAUGACAAUGUUGCCAUUCCAGCACAUUUUUAUACAAAUUUUUUCUGCUAUUGCCCAGAUGACACAAGUGGUCCAGUGUGCGCUAGUAAUUGGAGAACGUACAGAAACAAAUGUGUGAUGGAAUGUGAUGUUGUGUAUCGGGAUUUGGAAGUCAUGUUUUAUGGAAGCUGCGAUAAUGUACGCACUGUGCCUGAAUAGUGGUGCAUUGAAAUUUGUUGCUUAUAUAAUUUGAGGAUUUAAAAAAAAAAACAUUUUUUGUGUUUUUAUUUCGGGCUUUAGCUCUCAUCAGGUCAUGCUUAUCAUAAUAAUGCAUAAUGGGAACUGUGACUAGAAAAUUUCAAUGCUGGACAAGCUGGAGUUGGUAAAUUUAACUUGCAAGAUUUGAUUACAGAACAUCAGGACAAGUGAAACUGAAUAAUUAAGUGGUUACUAUCUCUUGACUACGAUUCUACUGAACAUCUUAUACAAAUUAUUUCACAACCCUCCCUUCAUAACCCCAUUACCUCACAAUUAUCACAAUUAUAUCACAGCUUCCCCACACACAAACAAAACACUUACACAUACAUCCACCCACUACGGUUUAUCAUUUAAUUUUAACUACUCAUAUCUUUCUAUUUCGUUUUCCUCUCUUUAUUAUUCUACUACUGGUGUCAUUGUGUACUUGUGCAUUUUCGAUCAUGGCGAGGAGUGAGCCUGGUGACCUGUAAUACAGGAGGUCUUACCUACCUAUCUCAGACACCAGUUCUCUCCGCAUUUAUGUAAGUUUUGUACCUACCCUAAACAAAUUUUGUAAAUUAUUAGUAAGUGGAGAGAAUAAUUAAUGAUUUAUUAUUUUAAAAAAGAAAAAAGCUUGUAAAAACAGGGAACUCACCCCAUC